CAACGGGAAGGAAAUGACGGCUACAUUUCGUCAAAAUCGACGAAAUCCUCGCGAUUUGCGAGCUGUUUUGCUUGUUCCGACGCUUAGACGGUAGUGCAUUACAUUUGCAGUGUAAAAUGGAGUGAAAUGAGCACUUAAACGUCGAAAUAUCUCCUGCGGGAAGGAAAUGACAGUUAAUUUUCAUCAAAAUCGACGAAAUCAUCGCGAUUUGCGAGCUAUUUUGCUUGUUUCCACGCUUAAACGGCAGUGCAUUACAUUUGCAGUGUAAAAUGAAGUGAAAUGAGAUCUUAAACGUCGAAAUAUCUUCAACGGGAAGGAAAUGACGGCUACAUUUCGUCAAAAUCGACGAAAUCCUCGCGAUUUGCGAGCUGUUUUGCUUGUUUCGACGCUUAAACGGUAGUGCAUUACAUUUGCAGUGUAAAGUGGAGUGAAAUGAGAUCUUAAACGUCGAAAUAUCUUCAACGGGAAGGAAAUGACGGCUACAUUUCGUCAAAAUCGACGAAAUCCUCGCGAUUUGCGAGCUGUUUUGCUUGUUUCGACGCUUAAACGGUAUGCAUUACAUUUGCAGUGUAAAAUGGAGUGAAAUGAGCGCUUAAACGUCGAAAUAUCUCCAGCGGGGAUGAAAUGACUGUUAGUUUUCGUCAAAAUCGACGAAAUCAUCGCGAUUUGCGAAUUAUUUUGCUUGUUUCGACGCAUAAACGGUAGUGCAUUAAAUUUUCAGUGUAAAAUGAAGUGAAAUGAGCGCUUAAACGUCGAAA